UUCGUUGUAGUGUAGUUGGUUAGGAUACUUGGCUUUCACCCUAGAAACUCGAGUUCAAUUCCUGGCAACGGAA
rfam:Ipomoea nil DNA, scaffold: scaffold3056, cultivar: Tokyo-kokei standard.